rnacentral:tRNA from 1 species
GGCGCUGUGGCACAGCAGGUUAAUGCCCUGGCCUGAAGUGCCAGCAUCCCAUAUGGGCACCAGUUCUAGUCCCGUCUGCUCCA